GUGACUGCCAGGUAAUGCUAACCCCGAAUCCUUGGUGCCUGUGUUAUGCACCAUAUGCUGAAUUUCGGUUCCAGCUGUGUGCUAGGCUGGGUCUGAUCUGGCAAAGAGGAACUGGCUCCACAGCUCUGGGCAGAAUCCACUGCUGCUCCCACACAGAGAAGACCAGGGGAACCGCAGUCCCACUCUGAUAGUGAGAGCAAAGGAAAGUGGCAACAAUGAAGGAAUAAAACCCAGCUCGUCCCCCUGUUCCUCAUGCCCAACCCUUGCCAAGACUUCAGGUAACAGAAGGAAGAGAACACAUGGAUGGGCACAUGCUGGGCCCGGAAG
ensembl:lncRNA LINC00222 long intergenic non-protein coding RNA 222